rnacentral:ncRNA from 1 species
AAGUCGUAACAAGGUUUCCACCGACAUAAGGUCUACAGGAAUGGAUUUGACCCUUCUGCAGUGAAACUUAUAGAAGCCUUUUGCAGCCCGGCAGCGGGUGAUCAAGCGACUCUAAAUAAUUGACGAUGCAAGUUUGUCCGUCUAUGACAGCAAGCGACACGAUCGAAUUGACGGGGGCAUCCUAAAGCUUGUCGCACCAACUCCUUCAGAGAAAUCUGAAGGAGGGCCCAUGCUAACAACAUGGGAGGGUAAGAGAUGACAAGAUGCAACAAUGGACGAUCCGCAGCGAAGACUCUAAGUGCAUUAUCAGAUGCAUACGGGUAACGUUCACAGACUAAGUGGUCGUGGGUGACGCAACUGAAAGUGGUUGAAUCGUCGCUUAAGAUAUAGUCGGGUCUCUGGCGAAAGUCAGGGUGGAAUUCACUGAAUUGCUCAUUAAAACCGUUCCGUAGGUGAACCUGCGGAAGGAUCAUUACCGAGUGCGUCCGUUAAUUCGGACUCCUCCCACCCUUGUGUAUUUUAGCUGAAAAGCAGCUUCGGCGGGCCGUCAUACCUCAGUUUUGGGGUCUUGACAUCGGCCUUGUGCGGAUUUGCGCCCGCCGAAGAACCAACUCUUGACAAUUUGAAGUCUGAUACAAACUAAAAUAAAUCAAAA